CCCUGCAGCCAUCGAGGUCAAGAAGACUAUUCCUUCAUCUGUGCUGCUCUUUUCCAUGCAUCCAUCCAUUCUUCUCCAGCUCUGCAUUCAUCACAGACUCCUGAAUGAAGCCGGAUUUAUUCAUUCUUCUUGCUGAAGGUUUGGUCACGUCGUGAACUCUUUGAUAGCAGUCGCUCCUCGACGUGAACACAGCAGAGAACGAGCUGCUCUUCACAUCGCAGACGGCUGAAUGAAUCCUUCGGAGCAGGUCACGACGCUUCACAGCCUCAUAAAUCUGGGAGACGCUGCAGCAGCAGAUCUGAUGACCCCAUACAUCACUGAAAGGUCACCGGCGUGACGACGAGGAAGCGAUUCGUCUUCUGAAAAUCCAGCGUGAGCGAUGAGACUGGAAGAGGAGGAUUAGUAUGUAGCAGGGAGGAGCUGAGACCUUUAGAGGAGAUAUGAAGAAGCACUGGAGCUGCUGAGGGUCUCCACUCACAUCUUCACCCAUAAAAUCA
ensembl:lncRNA